CUUUUAUGAAAUAUUGAAAUUCUUCAUGAUUAAUAACUUCCCGCUGUAAAUCAAUCUUCAACGUCAUUAAUAAAAUGUACAUGUAUUUAUGAAUCUCAUAAAGGCCCCUUGCUUUAUAUUUAAAAAUUUCAAAGAUUUUUCACCCACGGUAGCAGUAUCGAUCAAGCUGGCUGUAAUAUUUAUCACGAGAGAAAUUGGAAUUUUUCGAUUCUGGAUAAAUUCGAACCACUGCCUUUGCACUAAGGUUCUGAAUUCUUGAUUAAAUGGUCCACAAUAUGAUAAGAAACCCAUUAGGAUUAAUAUAUCGCCAACCAAACGAUCAGUUUCCGAUUUAAACGCAGCUAAUUGCUCCGUCCACCUUAUUCUUUCGCCAGAAAGGCCUUCUAUCAUUGCUGUAGCGGUAUCCGUUUUUGCUUGGCAAAUUUCGGCAAGAUCAAUUAUUUUCUAACAAAUACAAAGAUAAAAUAUUUAUUAUUUAAUUUAAUAAAUAUAAAAAAAAGUACAAAAAAAUAGGAAAAAAGCGAAGAAAGCUUCGAACAUUGCAAAUUUUCAAAAUUUUGGAAAUCUGAGAAUUAAGAAAAAUUUUCAACUCAAUGUUAACUCGAGAUCUCAUAUAUUCUUAUUCUAUAUUUUAUAAAUUACUUGGCGUUCUUCCAUCACGGCAUCGAACUCCCUCUGUACGACUUUCAAGUCUUCGUCUUUUUCUCUUAAAAGAUUUUCAGCUUCCAUUAGAUUUCUAUUUGCUUUUUCAUAUUUACUCUCUUGCACUGCCAAAUUUGCCUGAAUUCAAAAAUCUUUGUAAAUACAGGAAGGAUUUGGACAAGGAUAGAUUCUAUACUUUUAAUGAUUAAAAUGAAAAGUACUUUUAAAGGAAGAACAUCUUUAUUUAUCCCAUAAAAGGUAACCAUAGAAAUGGUCCAUUGAAUGAGACCAGCAACAUUUCCGCAAGCUUGCAAUGCAGCUUCGUACGUGUAUAAAUGAUAAUUCAAAUAUGGUUGCAUUAAAUCGAUAGUUUCAGCGUUAAUGUUAUCCUUCGGGAAAUGUUGCAAAUUGUAUAGAAAUCUAACAUCAGCCAUCAUCUAUAAAGAAUUUUAUAUAUUAAAUGAAUACUUAAAACUUAUUAAAACAAUUACUUUUAAUGCUUCAGUCCAUGAAGGACUCAAAAAUUGAUGAUCAUAAUCAGGUUUAACAGGGUCCAAUUUUCUUCCAAACAAUAUUAUCACACAAUCCAUAAUAAGGGUAAUCAGAUAUGGUGGUUUUCCUAAUUUUCUCACUGUAGCAAUAUCGGCAGCUUUUAUAGUCUAAAAAAUUUCAUGAAAUUGUAUAAAAUCAAUUUAAAAAAAAAAAAAAAGAAAGUAUAAAUUUAAUUAAAAAGAAACCGACUUGUAAGGCAGCUUCUGCUGCCAAUAAAGCAGGCUCAGCAGCUUUCAAUUUUUGUUCCGCUAUCGCUUUGUCUUUUGCAAUCGAUUUCAAAAUAGUUUCUGCCUCAUCCUUAGAAACUUGCACUUGUGCUUUUACCGUUUCUGCUUCUUUCUUCUUUUGAUUUACAGUAACUAAAAUCUACAAAGGAACGAUGCAAUAAAAACAUGUGAUAAUUCGGAAAAAUAAGAAAUUGUUGUUAAUUGUUAAUACAAAAGAAAAAUACGAACAGCUUCGACUUGCACAUUUUUCUCAGCGAUCUCCUGCUGAUUUUUCUCAAGGACUUUACGUAACUCGUCAACUUGAGCCGCAGCAUCGACCAACUUACUUAAACCACUGCUCAUACGAAAUGCAAGAAUGUUAAUAUUAUCCAAACGUUGCUUAUAAAGUGUUUUAUAUCCACUUAGAAAUGUUAAGAAUGAUUUUGGAGUGACGUACACUUGUCUUCUAAAUCUGUUUAGGAAAGAAGAUUAUACGUAUGAAAAAAUGAAUUAUAUUAGAAUAUUAAUAAUAUUAUAAUCACAGGAAAUGAUCACUGACCGCGUAUAAAGCAUCAAUGGGCCAUUUCCAGAACCAAUUUAGUGUACAACCGGAUAUAAGACCAGGGAAUUUUAAUGAACGAGUCCUGAACUUUUCACCAACCUGUAAUUCAAAAAUGUAAAUGUAAUAGUCUUGGAUUAAAAUAAUAAUAAUAAGAAGAAGAAGUUAUACUUACUGGUGAAAAGCACAAAACCAUGUGCAGAUUAUCCUUUGCACGUGUCAGAAAAUAAUCAUAAAGAUUAUCAGGAGUUGGUGGUCGCUUUGGAUCGUCACGUUUCAUCAUAGGAGUCACUGUCGUUCGAAUGUCAUCCAUUUCAUCAGCUGGAAAUAGACCUGCAAUUUCUCCAACGCUCAAUAUAUUGUUAAUGUAUUCCAGGAAAGCUUCCUCUUUUAUUUCAUUAUCGACUGUAUGAACAUUUUUGCAAGCGGUUUAUUGGAACUCUUAGUGUUAUUUAGAUGUUUCUUCGUUGAUUACCUGGUUAAUAUAAUCUGGAAAAAGUUAAAACCGGCAAUAAAAGCGGCAAGACGAGUGAGACUUUGUUUGCCUGAUCCUCCAACUCCCACUAGCAUCGCAUUGCUUCGAGGAACGCCCAGGAUUCUCGAUAUUCGCAUCAAAUGUACCAAAGCAUCAUGGAAGAAUACUAAAUCAAGAGUUAAUCCCCGAAUGUAUUCGUUGAAUUGCUCCAUAUUUUGUUGGACCUUUCCGAUCACAAAUUCAAAACUGUAAAAAGGAAAAGUAUCAUCGAUAUAAUUUGGAAUUAAUUACCUGAACCAUAUUAGGAGUGGAUGCGGAAGAAAAACUAAAGGAUUUGGACAGAUGCACUUCUGGAUUAUAAUGGGACAUGAAGCUUUUGAUUAUGACUGUUUU